GACGUAAUCACAGCAGCUGAUGCGGGCUCGCGGAGGCGGAUCAAGGGUUUCUUUCAUACGGCCCGUUAUAUUUUCACAAAACAUUUGAUUGUACGAAUGAUAAGCCACAUUGCUUUAGUGAUUCAACUGACUUCUGCGAUCCUUCGGUGGGGGGACGGGGUGAGUGAGGGCUGCUGUCAGGACCCCACACUGUGGGGUAGCCACACACUCAAUGGUGUCUCCCACAAUGAGGGCAUUGGUGGAUGCAGUUUGGGCAGUGUGGAGCAUCGGGGCCUCAAUCUAUGACUACAUUCACACCAGUGCCAUGGAAGAGCGAAUUCACACACUUGAAAGCGCUCUUACCGUCCACCAGUGUGUCAUCGGCCUACUGUCUGCUGGACUAGUGGCCCUCUUCACCUACAUUCUCCUGAGAAAGCACUGACUCAGGAUGUCUGCCAUUGUUCUGAAUGGGAUGACUGCAUGAGACUACAGUGGUGACAUCAGAGGGAAUUCUUAGACCAUGUUGGUGUCAAGCAAUGUCCAUUUCACCUGAAAGGGAUUUCAACAUGUCAGACUUUCACCUAAGCAGUUACUUACUAAACUUCAUUACCUGUUUGUAGUUCUAAGUUUACUGACUUAUCAUCAGAGUUGAUGGUUUUCCGAUUAAUCUGGUAAUCUAUUUAAUUGUUCUUUUGAUAAAAAAAAAAAAAAUAUUAAAAAAAAAACUUCCACAGUUUGUUCAUUUACAGCUGCCAUGGAGAGAAGGAUUAAACGAAAUAAGAGCUACCUGCCCAAUGCUCUUUACACAAGCUUGGUAACAGCUAAACAUUCAAUAUUCCAAUGAAGACUAAAUAUGUAAUUCUAUUUAUUUUGUUACCCUAUGACAUCUCAUAAGGCUAAUUUCUCAGAUCCAUGGUACAGUCCGGAGUUAUAUUUAUUUAUUAAAGGGGUUCAAUGAAAUAAAUUAUACACUUGAUUUCAAAGCUUGAUAAGAGAACUUGAAGUGUCCUUAAUCCCAAAAGGCAUCUGAUGUAGUUUUCAAUGUAUUUCCUACUUUAACUACUUAAGUGACAUUGAAUCUAGUUGCAACAUUUAAGGUAAGUCUUUACUUAAAUUUUCUUUGUAAAAGUUCAUGUGAAAUCUGUUUAUUUGCCAUCUGUGUCUUUUAACAGGUUUUAAUUCUUACCUUUCUCAUGUUUCCUCAAAAUACUUUGAGGUAAACAGUAAAAAAAAAAAAAAAAAAAAAUUGCACAGCUAGUAGUUAUACCUGCUCUGUAAUAGCAAAAAUAAUGUCUAGCUUUAUAUGGUGUAAUACUAGCAUUUCAUGUUUCAGCAAACCAUCAAGAUGUGAUGCAGAAUAAUGUAAGUCACUGUAUUCUGACUGUAAAUCACUGUUACCUACUACUGACUGCAGACAACAGCUUUUCACAUUGUGUUUUUAUUUUUGUUUUAAAGUGGUGCGCUGGUGUAAGACACCAUCUGCCCAUGUACAAUGUAAACAUUUAUUUAACAUUAGACAAUAUCAUAAUAAAAUGUAUUUUCUGGAAAAACAGGAAGGAACAAAUGUGUACACAGACAUUUCAAAAGGCAAAAAAUAAAGUGCCUACAUGGUCACAA